rnacentral:sRNA from 4 species
UAUCUCUCCGUACGGGGAAGGAUGAGAAGCUUCGACUAAGGUUCGAUUCGAGCGCAGCGAGAAAGCGUUGCCGCAGGCAACGACCCGAAGGGCGAAGCGCGC